GAUGAACGCUAGCGGCAGGCCUAAUACAUGCAAGUCGAACGGUGUCUUCGGACAUAGUGGCGCACGGGUGCGUAACACGUAUGCAACCUACCUUACAUUGGGGGAUAGCCUUUCGAAAGGGAGAUUAAUACCGCAUAAGACAGUAGCUGGGCAUCCAGCAGCUGUUAAAGAUUUAUCGAUGUAAGCUGGGCAUGCGUCCAAUUAGCUAGUUGGUGAGGUAACGGCUCACCAAGGCAAUGAUUGGUAGGGGAACGGAGGGGUCAAUCCCCCACACUAGAACUGAGAUGAGGGCCAGACGCGUACGGGAGGGUGCAUUAGGGAAUAUUGGGCAAUGGUCGCAAGUCUGACCCAGCCUUACCACGUGCUGGAUGAAGGCGUUAUGCGUUGUAAACUGCUUUUAUACGGGAAGAAGCGACUCUUGCGAGAGGCAUUGACGGUACUGUAUGAAUAAGCACCGGCUAACUCCGUGCCAGCAGCCGCCGUAAUAC
rnacentral:rRNA from 1 species